AAAUUGUUCCCCAUGUAUGCUAGAUAGGAAUAUAACCUUGGAAUUCAACUUUGCAUGAUAAUUAGACAAACAUAGAUCCAAGGUUAUUAGGGUUGCAUGUACACUUAGGAAGUGUUAGAAUGCUCAAAACCCAUCAGUGGUAUCAGAGCCUAGGCUUGUUUGUUUGUUAUUUGUGCUUAAAAGUUGAAGAAAGUCGAAAAUUCUGCUGUCUGACUGAUGGACUCGGCGAGUCCAUGGGGAGGACUCGUCGAGUUCAUGUGUAUCUUCAACCUACUCGGCGAGUAGGUUUAUGCACUCGGCGAGUAGGGUCGACAGAGUGCAGAAUUUCGACUUGAGUUGCUGGAAAUGGAUUAGAAUCAUUACCCUAAAAUGUUUUGGUACUUGAAAACUUAUUUUAGAAGGUGUAAUGUCUUUUCUAACUCAUUUACAACAACUAGUUAUCAAAAUUACAAAGAUUAAAUGUGAUUUUGAUUCUUGAAAGUGUUCAUAUUCAUAUUCUUGUUCUUAUGAUGUUUAGAUGAUCAUAGGAAUUAUUUGUAACCUAUGUGGUAGAUUAAUUCAUGAUCAUAAUGUGUUUUAAUGGAGUCCAUAACUUGUCCUCAAGUUAUGGAAAACCAAAAGUCUCUUGGAUUAAAAACCAUUAAAAGAACACAAGAGUUAGGAAAAAUGAAAAGUCCUCAUUUUAUUACUCUAUUAAACUCAUAAGUUACAAGAAAUGAAAAGUUUUGAAAGUUUACAAAACUUGCCCUCAAGUUUUGGAACAAGUAAAGUUAAGUUAAAACUUUAGUUCCAACCCCUAGAAUUUUAAAAGUUAAAAUUCAACCCUUAUACUUAUAUUAUUAUGAUUUAAUAAUUAUAUAUAUAUGUAUAAGAACAAAGUCGUCUUACCGCUAGUACGCCUCAUUCACGAAGCCGGUCUAUAAGGUGGGUAUAAGGUUGUUGCCUAUAAAAUGGUGACUUAAUGGGUGUCCACUCUCACCCACCGCUUGCUUGAUCGGUGGAGGGUCGUUAGCCGAACGGGUAAGACAAGGACUUAUUAAUUCUCAUUCAAAGUAUGAUGAAUAUUAUAAAGUAACUAAAUGUUUUAUUAAAUUCCCAAUCUUAGUUACUUUAGGAAAAAUGUGAAUAAGGUGCUAUUCCAUGAAAUUACACUUUACACUUUGAUUAAGUCGUUGGUGGAGCGUGUGUGGUUAACCGGCACACUAACUUGGACUUAACAAGGUAGGUAAAGGGUGACUUAGGGUUUAUUAUAGUAUCGAUGGAGCGUGUGUGGUUAACCGGCACAUCGAUUGAGUGAUAAACUUUAAGGGUACCAAGUGAUUUGCAUGGUUACUUCACACCUCGUUUUGUGAUCCUCGGUAUCCCAGUCACAAAACUUGGAGGGCACACUCGAGAUUGAAACAUGCCUUUGAAAAGUUCAUUGAAUCUCAAAGAAUCUAGGAAUUUCUAAGAACCAUUCAAAAACCUAAUACUAAAAUAUUGCGGUUUUCGUGGUGGAAAUUGGUGAAUCGUCAUUCACCUACCUUUCAAAUAUGAUAUAGCUUAGAUUACGGCAUACCUCUUCUAAGUUAUAUUAUAUUGUGAUUGGAUCCUAGCCUUAAUAUUACAUUUGGGUGUUUUAUUAAGGACUCUCUUAUAUCUAAACUAAUCUUGUCCUCUUUCCUUCAGAUGUCUUUCAACAAUGCUUCUGGCUCUAAUCCUAAUGGCUCCUUUACCCUUAUGAACUUGUGUGGGAAAGUCACCUUUGAUGGAUCCAACUUCAAUGAGUGGAUCAGAAACAUCAGGAUGAUUACCCGCUACGAGGACAAAGAAUAUGUCCUUGACAAGGAGCUUAAGGAGAUUGAUGAGUCCACUGCAACUCCUCAGGAGAUCGCUGAAUUUCGGGCACAUGAAAGGGAUGCUACGAAAGUGGCUUGCAUCAUGAUGGCCACGAUGACAGCGGAACUCCAAAAGUCUUAUGAGGAUUUCUACCCUUAUGACAUGCACCAAGAUUUGAUGGAAAGAUACCAUCAAAGUGCAAGACAAGAGAGGUAUGAAAUCAUCUGCUCCAUGAUAACAACCAUGAUGAAGGACGGGGAAUCCGUCACGAGCCACAUGCAGAAAAUGCAAAGGUAUGUGGAUCGUUUGCUGAAGCUUAAUGUGAACUUCCCGGAGGAUCUUGCAAUAGAUAUUAUUUUGCAUUCCUUACCAUCGUGCUAUGAUCAAUUCCGCAUGACAUAUCACAUGAACAAGGAAGAAGUCACCCUCAGCAAACUUCAGGGACUUCUCAAGACCGCAGAAACAGGUCUUAAGGGGAAGUCGGUUGCUAUCACUCCUACUCAAAACUCUACUCCGGUUUUGGCAAUCGGGAAAAGUCGAGGGAGGAAGAGAAAGAGCUCUUCUAAGGGUACCAAGGCUCGGACCCUUGAUGGCUCUUCUUCAAGUGGAACCAAGAAAGGUUUCGUUACUCCUUCUUCUGACCCAAAAGAGGCUGAAUGCUUCUAUUGCCAUGAAAAAGCUCAUUGGAAGCGGAACUGCCCAAAAUACCAGCAAGAUGUGAAGGAUGGGAAAGUUAAACCCAACCAUGCAGGUAUUUACACUAUCAUUUCUAAUAACUCACCCCAUUCUAAUUCUUGGGUCCUUGAUACCGGGUGUGGUAUUCACAUUUGUUGUGACUUGCAGGGACUAAGAAGAAGUGAGGAUGUGGAGCAAGGAAGGAUAAACUUGAUCAUGGGGAAUAGGAAAGCUAUACCUGUUACCAAGAUUGGAGUUUAUACUUUAUCGCUAAGUAGUGGGUUUAGUUUAGAUUUGAAUAAGUGUUGUUAUUCGCCAGGAAUGGCAAGAAAUAUUAUUUCCUUUCAUGCUUUGUACAAACAAGGGUUUACCUUUUCAUUUAAUAAUGAAGUUGGUUCUAUAGAUGUUUUCUAUAAUAAUGUCUUUUAUUUUAAAGCAUUACCUUGUGAUGGUGUGUAUGAAGCUGUAUCUGUUGUAGAUAACUUGGGAAAUAAUGUUUUGUGUAUUGAUUCUACUAAUAAUAACUUGGAUAAAGCAUCUUUAUGGCAUUGUCGUCUUGGACAUAUAAGCAAGAAACGCAUAGGCCAACUCCAAAAGGAUGGAGUCUUGGAGUCGUUUGACCUAAAGUCAGAUGAUAGUUGCGAAUCAUGCUUACUUGGAAAAAUGACAAAGUCACCCUUCACAGGUUCGUGUGAGAGGGGUGAAGGUUUGUUGGACCUUAUACACACGGAUGUGUGUGGACCAUUCAAACAUGCCACAAGGGAUGCUAAUCGUUAUUAUUUGACUUUUACUGAUGAUUAUAGUAGAUAUGGAUAUGUCUACUUGAUCAAGCAUAAGUCAGAGACUUUCGAGAGGUUUAAGGAAUUUAAACAGGAAGUCGAGAAUCAAUUGGGCAGGAACAUUAAGAUGCUUCGAUCCGAUCGUGGUGGUGAGUAUCUUAGUUCAGAGUUCCUCGACUAUCUAAGGGAAUGUGGGAUAGUCUCACAAUUGACACCUCCCAGGACACCACAGUUGAAUGGUGUGGCUGAGAGGCGUAAUCGAACCUUGUUAGAUAUGGUUCGUUCCAUGAUGAGUCGAGCUACGCUACCAAUCUCAUUCUGGGGGUAUGCCUUAGAGACUGCCGCCCAUAUUCUUAAUCUAGUCCCUACAAAGAAAGUUGCCAAAACUCCUCACGAGAUGUGGACUGGUAAAGUACCUAAACUAGACCACAUCAAGAUUUGGGGUUGCGAGGCUUUCGUGAGACGCGAGACUCAUGAUAAGCUCGAACCUCGAAGCGAGAGGUGUAUUUUCAUCGGUUACCCACAGCGAUCCUUUGGUUACCUCUUCUACAGACCUAGUGACAAUGUGGUCUUUGUAGCAAGAAGAGGAGUCUUUCGAGAAAGAGAGUUUAUAAGCCAAGGAGACAGUGGGAGGCAAAUUGAUCUUGAAGAAAUUCAAGAAUCAAGCGGUGAAGGAACUUCAAACUCUAGCCCUCAACUUGAGGAGGAAACUCCUGUUGAGCCAAUUGACAAAUCUGUACCUCUGAGACGUUCCACGAGAGUUAGGAGUGCACCUGAGCAUUACUAUGGAUUCCAUAUUACUGCAGAAGGUGAGACACUUAUUAGUGAUGAGACACUAGUAAGUCAAGAUGACCCUAACAGCUACGAGGAAGCCAUGGCAGGCCCCGAGUCUGCUAAAUGGAAAGAGGCUAUGGAUAGCGAGAUACAAUCCAUGUAUGACAAUCAAGUUUGGAACUUGGUUGAAAAUGUACCAGGUCGUAAGACAGUAGGGUGCAAAUGGGUCUUCAAGAAGAAGACCGACAUGGAUGGUAAAGUACACACUUAUAAGGCUAGACUGGUUGCAAAGGGCUUCUCUCAAAUUCCUGGAGUGGAUUAUGAUGAGACCUUUUCUCCGGUAGCCAAGAUUAAGUCUAUUCGGGUUCUGUUAGCCAUAGCUGCAUUUCAUGACUAUGAAAUAUGGCAGAUGGAUGUCAAAACCGCUUUCCUUAAUGGAAAGUUGGCUGAAGAUGUUUACAUGAGUCAGCCAGAGGGUUUUGUCAGCAACGAGUACCCUAAUAGAGUGUGUAAGCUUGAGAAAUCCAUUUAUGGAUUGAAGCAAGCACCUCGCAGAUGGAAUCUUUGCUUUGAUGAAAAGGUCAAGGAAUUUGGCUUUUCUAGGAGUGAAGAUGAAUCUUGUGUGUAUGUCAAGGCUAGUGGGAGUAUAGUUAGCUUUUUGGUAUUGUAUGUGGAUGACAUACUACUCAUAGGAAACGACAUUCCAACCCUGCAGGAAGUAAAGUCCUGGCUUGGGAAGUGUUUCGCUAUGAAGGACCUUGGUGAAGCUGCCUAUAUUCUAGGGAUAAGAAUCUUGAGAGAUCGGAGUAAAAGACUAAUUGGACUUAGUCAGAGUACCUACUUGGAUAAGGUGCUGAAGAGAUUCAGCAUGCAGGAUUCCAAGAAAGGAGAGUUACCCAUCCAGAGUAACACCAGAUUGAGUAAGACACAAAGCCCUAGCACUGAGGCUGAGAUAGCAGAAAUGAGUCGAACACCUUACGCUUCGGCUGUAGGAUCGAUCAUGUAUGCUAUGACGUGUACUCGACCCGAUGUAGCUUUUGCCUUGAGCAUGGUUAGCAGGUAUCAGGCGAACCCUGGCAAGGCACACUGGACUGCGGUAAAGAAUAUCCUCAAGUACCUACGGAGGACUAAGGACUGGGUCCUUACCCUCGGUGGGAGUGAUGACUUGAGAGUUGUAGGGUAUAGUGAUGCUAGCUUCCAGACUGAUAGGGAUAAUUUCCGCUCUCAGUCGGGCUGGGUCUUUACCCUAAACGGAGGAGCAAUUUCUUGGAAGAGUUCCAAGCAAGAGACAGUGGCAGAUUCUACUUGUGAAUCAGAGUAUAUUGCAGCUAGUGAAGCAGCAAAGGAGGCGAUAUGGCUGAAGAACUUCAUUGGAGACCUUGGAGUUGUACCAGCUAUUAAAGAGCCAAUGGAAAUUUUCUGUGAUAGUGAAAGUGCUGUUGCCUUAGCCAAGGAACCAAGGGAUCAUGGGAGAUCCAGACACAUCGACAGAAAAUACCAUUUCAUUAGACAUCGGAUCGAAGAAGGACUCCUCGUGGCAAAGAGGGUAUCAUCGGAUGAGAACCCAGCAGAUCCCCUCACGAAGGGACUGAGUAGGGUUAAGCAUCUCCAGCAUGCUCGGAGCAUAGGGCUGAAGGAUGAUAUAAGUUUUAGUAGUUAGAUAACCCAGAAAUUUGUAAAGUGUAAUUGACAUUUGAUGAUGAAUAAAAGGUGUUUUAUUUAUGAGUAAAGUGUUGCUAUCUCUUGUCGAUCGUUUACUAUAUUUCUUUUGCAUGUUUUGACUUCCAGAAUAAUUUUGUUUGGUAUAACAUAUUAUUCAAACCUCCACAGUCGGUCAUAUGUUGGAAGUAGAUAUGAAUCAAGACUGUCAUGUUUGGUUGUAGAGGUCUUGGACAAGGCUACAACAAUCAUGAGUGCUCAUAAGUUCUGAGCAUUGGACUCAACCCACGCUCACUGGAAUCACUUCAUGGAAUUCUAUCUCGAGUGAUCGUGAGACGGUAAUAUCAUAUAAGUCUUCAAACCUAGAGAUAUGAUUUGUUACUUACAAGUUGGUUAUGCAUUGACUGUACGAAACCGCAUUGGUAACUCGAUGUUAUAAAACGUACUUUUGUGUGUAAUUCAAUGAGUGGUAGAACAAACAUAUGAGUCGAAGUUUAUCUGUUCCUUCUUGGAUUAGAAGCUGAUAUCUGGGCCCCUCGAUGAUUUUGUUUUGACCCAUGUACCGGGCCCGGUCAGAACUAAGUUGAUGUGUUCAAUUAAGUUCUAUGUCAAACAAAUCGGAAAUCGGGAAACAAAUGCUGGACAAUAAGCAAGACAAUGUUCCAUGUAUUUGUCCGGCUGAUAUCUAGAACGGAGGAUUAUAUGAUCACUUAUCUUAAAUGGCGUACCAUCAUCUUCUCAGUUCCGAGAGACCUUGAAAGAGCUACGAUUGCCGGUCGGUUCCUGAAGUACUAGAGAUAUAGUUAUUAGACUUAUCCAAGUGGGAGACUGUUGGAUAAGGUGUCUAAGUCCAUAACUAUUUCGGGCUUGUACUUGACCCGACCCGGCAUGGUCCAUUUGGGUUGCAUGGCACCAUGCAAUUGGAUAGACUAAAUGAGAGAAAUAACACUUGGAGAUUAUUAAUAUAUUAUAAGUUCUAAUAUAUUAAUAAUAUUAUUUGAUUAGUUGAUCAAAGAAUUAAUUUGGAAUUAAUUAAGUGAUCAAAGGAUAACUAAUUAAAUAUAUGGGUUGAUUAUGUAAAUCAUCCAUAUCUUGUAUAGUGGGCUAAGAGGCUCCAUGGAUUAUCAAGUUGGGUUCUACCCAUAGGAUGCUCCAUGGAUGCUCCAUGGGAGUUACAAACCCAUGGGUCAUGGAAAUGAAGAGUCAUGACACAUUAGGGUUUACAUGGUGUAACCCUAGAUGUGUCAACACUAUAUAAGAAGCAUAUUCUCCACCAACAUCGGCUACACUAAGAAACUAGAGGGCUUGGUCGAUUUUGAGAAGUGUGUGUUAUCUCAAGAGUCUUUCCAAGAGCAUUUGGUGUUGUGUGAAGCAUUUGAGGCAUCACACUUGGGGUGCUAGGCUCACAAGGUUUCAAGGAACACAAGCAACAACAAGGUAAGUUAUUCUAUCUAUGAUUCAAGUUAAAAUUGUUCCCCAUGUAUGCUAGAUAGGAAUAUAACCUUGGAAUUCAACUUUGCAUGAUAAUUAGACAAACAUAGAUCCAAGGUUAUUAGGGUUGCAUGUACACUUAGGAAGUGUUAGAAUGCUCAAAACCCAUCAGGAAGGUGGUGGAUUUCCUGUGGGGCCGUGAGCAGCAGAGGGAGUUUGAGAUCCUCCGACAGUGUUUAUGUGAGGCGCCGGUGUUGACACUCCCCGAGAGAGUGGAGGAUUUUGUGGUAUUCUGUCACACCCCAAAACCGGAACGGCGGAAACGUUCUGGGGUGGAUGACGUCAUGUCAAGUGUCACAACACAUGCAUUAUAGUAAUCAAAGUACAACAAAAC
rnacentral:lncRNA from 1 species